GCGCUCGUAGCUCAGCUGGAUAGAGCAACGGACUUCGAAUCCGUCGGUCGGGAGUUCGAAUCUCUCCGAGCGCGCCA
rnacentral:tRNA from 1 species